UGAACGCUAGCGGCAGGCUUAAUACAUGCAAGUCGAACGGUAACAUGUCCAGCAAUGGAUGAUGACGAGUGGCGAACGGGUGCGUAACGCGUAUGCAACCUACCUUUAACUGGAGGAUAGCCCCGAGAAAUCGGGAUUAAUACUCCAUAACAUUAUGAUCUGGCAUCUGGUUAUAAUUAAAGAAUUUCGGUUAAAGAUGGGCAUGCGUGACAUUAGCUAGUUGGUAGGGUAACUGCUUACCAAGGCAACGAUGUCUAGGGGGUUCUGAGAGGAUUACCCCCCACACUGGUACUGAGACACGGACCAGACUCCUACGGGAGGCAGCAGUAGGGAAUAUUGGUCAAUGGACGCAAGUCUGAACCAGCCAUGCCGCGUGCAGGAUUGACGGCCCUAUGGGUUGUAAACUGCUUUUAUGCAAGAAAAAUAUGCUAUACGUGUAUAGCUUUGAUGGUAUUGCAUGAAUAAGGAUCGGCUAACUCCGUG
rnacentral:rRNA from 1 species